GCUUGUCUCAAAGAUUAAGCCAUGCAUGUCUAAGUAUAAACAAAUCUAUACUGUGAAACUGCGAAUGGCUCAUUAUAUCAGUUAUAGUUUCUUUGAUGGUUCUUACUACUUGGAUAACCGUAGUAAUUCUAGAGCUAAUACAUGCAUGAACCCCCGACUUUUGAAGGGGUGUAUUUAUUAGAUUGAAACCAAUGCGGGUUCCCCGGUAUUUGGUGAUUCAUAAUAACUUUCGGAUCGACUUCGGUCGAUGCAUCAUUCAAGUUUCUGCCCUAUCAGCUUUCGAUGGUAGUGUAUUGGACUACCAUGGCAGUAACGGGUAACGAAGAAUUAGGGUUCGAUUUCGGAGAGGGAGCAUGAGAAACGGCUACCACAUCUAAGGAAGGCAGCAGG
rnacentral:rRNA from 1 species